UUCACUAAGAGCAAUCCGGAGGUGGCGGCAAGCAAAGUUCCCCGCGAACUCCCGCCACCAGGCUGCUGCUGGAAGCCGGGCGCCGCGUCUCUGUUUCCCAGGGGGGUCUGGGGACAUGGCCAGGAGGGCUCUCAAGCUUGCUUCGUGGACCAGCAUGGCUCUUGCCGCCUCUGGCUUCUACCUCUACAGCAACAAGUACUUGGAUCUCAACGACUUUGGCGCCGUCAGGGUGGGCAGAGCAGUUGCCACGACAGCUGUCAUCAGUUACGACUAUCUUACCUCCUUGAGGAGUGUCCCCUAUGGCUCAGAGGAAUACUUGCAGCUUCGAUCCAAGGUGCACCUUCGCUCUGCCAGGCGCCUUUGCGAGCUCUGCUGUGCCAACCGGGGCACGUUCAUCAAGGUGGGCCAGCACCUGGGGGCUCUGGACUACCUGCUGCCGGAGGAGUACACCCGCACGCUGAAGGUGCUGCACAGCCAGGCCCCGCAGAGCAGCAUGCAGGAGGUCCGCCAGGUCAUCCGAGAGGACCUGGGCAAAGAGAUUCAUGAUUUGUUCAUGAGCUUUGACGACACCCCUCUGGGAGCUGCCUCCCUGGCCCAGGUCCACAAGGCGGUGCUGCAUGAUGGGCGGACGGUGGCCGUGAAGGUCCAGCACCCAAAGGUGCAGGCUCAGAGCUCAAAGGACAUUCUUCUGAUGGAGGUGCUCGUCCUGGCUGUGAAGCAGCUAUUUCCAGAGUUUGAGUUCAUGUGGUUGGUGGAUGAAGCCAAGAAGAACCUGCCUUUGGAGCUGGAUUUCCUCAACGAGGGGAGGAACGCCGAGAAAGUGGCCCAAAUGCUCAAACACUUUGACUUCUUAAAGGUCCCCCAAAUUUACUGGGAGCUGUCCACCAAGCGGGUCCUUCUGAUGGAGUUUGUGGACGGCGGGCAGGUCAACGACAGAGACUACAUGGCGAGGAACAAGAUUGACGUCAAUGAGAUCUCGCGCCACCUGGGCAAGAUGUACAGUGAGAUGAUCUUUGUCAACGGCUUCGUGCACUGUGACCCUCACCCAGGCAACGUGCUGGUGCGGAAGUGCCCGGGCACAGGAAAGGCGGAGAUCGUCCUGUUGGACCAUGGGCUUUACCAGGUGCUCACGGAGGAGUUCCGCCUGGAUUACUGCCACCUCUGGCAGUCGCUGAUCUGGACCGACAUGAAGAGCGUGAAGAAGUACAGCCAGCGCCUGGGAGCCGGGGACCUCUACCCCUUGUUCACCUGCAUGCUGACAGCCCGGUCGUGGGACUCAGUCAACAAGGGCAUUGGCCAAACUCCAGUCACCGCCACUGAGGACUCAGAGAUCCGCAACAAUGCGGCCAACUACCUCCCCCAGAUCAGCCACCUCCUCAACCUCGUGCCGCGUCAGAUGCUGCUCAUCUUCAAGACCAACGACCUGCUGCGGGGCAUCGAGGCCGCCCUGGGCACCCGCGCCAGCGCCAGCUCCUUCCUCAACAUGUCACGUUGCUGCAUCAAGGCCCUGGCCGCGCACAAGAAGAAGAAUACCCAUUCAUUCUUCAGAAGGACCCAGAUCUCUUUCAGUGAGGCCUUCAACUUAUGGCAGAUCAACCUUCAUGAACUCGUUCUGCGUGUGAAGGGGCUGAGGCUGGCCAGCUGGGUCUUGGCCCUGCUCUGCUGGCUGUUGCCUGCUCCACACUGAGUGGACUUGCUGUUCCCUUCCCGGUGUGACCUUGUGGUGGCCAAGGGGUCUUUUCACUCCUCGCUCUUCCAUCAUGUCUCUACCCACUUGCCCCGUUUCUGCCAGCUGGUGGCCUGGAGCCCCAGGGUCGCUGUCCAUGGCACUGUUACGCUCCACCUCUGAAAUUCCUCUCCUUUGGAGCCCUUGUCGUGGGACCCCCCCAAGCUGCGCCGUGUGAUAGGUUUCUUUCUCUCUGUAUCCAGGGAGAAGGCACGGCAGUCUGCUUUCCCGCUCCCCGUGUGGGCCAUUGGGUUGGAUGCCCCCCACUUCCGUUAACCCUUCCUGUUAUCAGGAUGGACCAUGAAUCCCACUGAGGGCACAUUUAACUUGUAGGAAGUUUGAUUUUGCUGGAGGGGAGUGUGGUCUCUGAACUGGAGAGCAGUCUCCUCUCCUUGCGCUGUCACUCCCCAGAGGUGCCGACCUUAGCCAGCUGGCUUGGCACCCGAGCCAGGCUCUGUUGCAGCUGUGAGUUCACUGCUGUCGUGGUGACCCCUCUGGUGUUUUAUGUACUGUGAUUCAAUAAAAACCCCUUCAGGGUUGCAGAGCAGAGCUUGGUCAGUGGAUUUUUAUUCCAGGUUGGGAGUGAAUCCACUUUGGCCACUAGGUAGGAGUGGAUCUGGAUGCCGUGUGCCACGUGCCAUUGUGAUCUGCUUGGCUUCUUGUCCCUGAAAUCCUUCCACCCUUCCACUGUGCAGCAGCUUUCUGAUUCUUGUAUGUUUCUCUCACUUUCUAAGACUGAGACCUUGGUUGGAGUUGUUAGGAAGCCCAAGGCCAGGAACUCAGAGGCUCAGCUGAAACCUCUGACUUUAGUUCCCCCGGCUUCUCACCUCAUUCCCUGAGACCUGGCACCUGCCUUGUUCUACCAAUUGGCUUCUGACUUAGCCCUUGGAUUCAUCAUUUGAUAACCCCAGUCCUGGAGACUGUAGUCUAAAGUUCAGUCACCGUGGCUGGGCUUCCACUCUGAAACCUCUUUGUCACCUGUCUGGACUCUACUUCUAUCUUAUUGCCUGUUGCCAGCCUGCCCCUCCCCCCACUCGAUCAUCUGGUCCUGUUUUGGGGACACCCGCAAACUCCUGCUCUAACUCCUGUGUUUGUGUGGUCUCCAGAUCCCUAAGACCCCAGAUAUGGCAGGUCCUAGCUCUCACUGAGCACCCAGGCUCACAGAGAGUAAUUGUGUUUGAAUCUCUCCGAUCUUACUUCACUGCAUUCAUGAGGGCAGAAAAAAAUCUAAAUUUAAGUCUCAUUUUCUGUUCUCUUUAUUCAUAAUACAACAAGCAGAUUUUUCACUGACCAGAGAUGAUUCGCAAUCCCUUUAUUUCCUGAAAGAAUUAAUUGUUCCUAGUGACCAGUUGGAUGCACCCAGAGACCUGAGAGAAUAAUUUGCAAGAUCUGUUAUGAGUCAUGAGGAUGCACGCUGCAUAUUACAUUUUAUGGUGUCUUUUAUAGCCACUGAAGUAAAUAUAAAUGUCCUUUUUGUUCAAGUGCUGGAGAUAUGGAUUACGCCUGCUCCGUGAGCUGUCAUAUGUGCCUGAACUGUGACUCUAACACCCUGACUUCAGAGAAAGUUGGGUUUUCAGUGGAAGUGGGGGAGUGGAUGGGUAAAGGAGACAAAAAGUUCUGGAAGUGCAGACUGAGUCCUGCAUGUUCCUUGGGCCUAAGACAGGAUGGACCUGGACCACUGUGAUACUGCAGUGCAAUUCUGAUGCUGAUCACCUGGAGUUAGUACAGACUCUGUUUCCUUAAGGGCAUAGUUCCCAUAAGACUGCCCUCACUUCAGACACAAGUUGCAGGUUUGGGGGUCCCUAGACCAUCUACACUUUUGGCCAACUGACUACAAAUUUGGGGUUCCCACAACCCCCUCAGAUUUGAUAAUUUGCUGAAUGACUCACAGAACUCAGGGAAGCACUACACUUGUGACCAGGCAAAUGAAGAGACACAUAGGGUGAGGUCUGGGAGGAUCCUGAAUGCAGAGCUUCUGGGUUCUUGCUGUGAAAGGAACCUCUUGGCACAGAAAUGUGUUCGCUGAGCUUCAGUGUCCAGAGUUUUUAUCAGGGUUUCAUUAUAUAAGCACAAUUGAUUGAAUCAUUGACCACAUGAUUGAACACA